rnacentral:lncRNA from 1 species
UUAAAUUCUGAUAUAUCAGGAAAGCGUCAAAAAAAUAGAGUUGAAAAUUUGAAGAAAAAACAACAGAACUGAAACAGGGACAUCGAUUUCAGGAGAAAAUAGCACAAAAAUAAAAAACAAACAAGUCUCAAAAUUCUUUUCAUUAGUUAUAUGAAGACAGAGAACUCAUUUCUUACAUCCAUUUGUAAGUUAUAUACAUUAUGCAAGCAAAGAACCCAGCCAUGCCCCCAGUCCUCAAACCUUGUUUUGAUUGACCAAAGCUUGCACUCAGGAGUCAAUGAUUCACCCAAAUUAAGAAUGUUCCUUGUAAAUUGUCAUCGAUUUUGACAGACUUAUGGCUCAGUUGGGACCCCAACAGCUCAAGUACAUGACAGUCCUCAAAGACUCUUCUGAUUGUUUAGACUUGUUCAGUCCCUUUGAAAUUGCAGCUGAGGAUUGAGAGGAGAGGUUCUUGGCCUGUGAAGCUGACCUCACAUGGUUCUUGGCAUGCUGCACAACUGACCUUACUGUGUAGUUCCAUCUGCAAAUACCUUGAUCUUUCAGAGCCUCCACAGCUCCAAUACUAGCUGCAACAACCCAUGCUCUGCUUGUAGAACUCAUCUUUGCAAACACUUGAUUCUUGAAUGUUGAAAUUGAAGAAAGCUUGUAUAAAGACAGAUACACUGUGGUUUUGUUGAUUGAUGCUCAAGUGAAAGGGGGUUGCUUAUAUUUAUAGGAUAGCAAAAAAGGGGUGGUCCAGAAAGCCAAAUAUUAGGAGAAAACAACAGGCUAUAUGCUCGUGGUUUUCCUUUUCCUGGGCGGGUGGGGUUGGAUGCACUUGGAACCAUAUGACUUAAAUGCCCAUCUGAAAUCACUUGACGACAACAAAUAGAUAUAGGAUAAUAUUCAAUGAAUGCACGGUGGGCACAUGGUUUGCUCUUAAUAAACUAAUAGCGGGCUGACUACGGGAGUACAACAGUCCAAACCACGCAAUUGGGAAUUGAAAAACAAGAGGCAUAUUUUGGAAUAUGAUAAGAGCAAACUUUUCGCCACGUAUUGAGUUCGUAAUCAAAUAUCUGUACAAUUUCUUUGUUUAUAUAUAGUCACUCCUUGCUUAUGAGCUAGUAUUGGUAUGUGCUUCCCGAUCAUCUAAUCUACCUGGCAGCAGGAUCGCCUGACCGACUAAUCAUUCAUGCAAAUAAUUUAACUUUUUUAAUAUUUACUUCAUUUCGUAAAGAAAAAUUAGUAUAAGUGAAAAAGGACAGACGUCUGACGUAAAUAAAGACCAACGGUUGGGUUUAAUGUAGUUCAUGGUAAUAAAAUUGAUGUUUUAUUAUUAAAAAAAAUUCAUAUUUUUAUAGAAAGAGCAAAGGUUGGAAUAAAACGCACAAAGUUAUGAAACUAGAAAUUGACAUCAUCUAUUACAAAACUAAGGUAAGUUGCAUCUAUCUGAUUGUUAGAUUUUAUGCAGAGCAAAAGGCAAGUACUGAUUCAUGUCUCUUCCAAGAUUUCUAACUUUUUAGAAAUGUAAAAUAAUUCUAGUGCUAUGUCCUAUUAAUUUUUGCUGCAUGUAUAUACAGAAAAUCAGAUGCUAACUUUUAUUUAGUUUAACAAAAUAAAAUAGAAAACAUAAAAAUUAAUUGCAUGAUUAUAUAUAAAUUAAGAACACAAGUUGACAAAAUUGCUCCUUUUCUUCUAAUUAAAAGUAGCUUUCACAGCUAUUCAAUACUACAAUUUUCAUAUCCCCUCUCCAUUUUCAAGGACUAAAAUCUAACACACUACAACUUCAUAUAUGCAUAUAUAUAUAAUAGAACGACCAUCAGUGUCAGCAAGGCCCCCAACAGCUCAAGAAUAUUACUUUCCUCAAAGUUUCUUAGCCUGCUUAGUUUUUUCAUCAAAAAGUCUGCUUCGAACAGUUGCAGAAGAAGAAAGCUUCUUGGCUUGAGAAUCUGAUCUGAGAUUGCUGUUGACAUGUUGGCUAAGUGACCUUUAUUGCUUGAUCUUUCAAAGCCUCAACGGCUCCAACACUUGCUGCCCAGCCAUGCCCCACUAUAUUUGAUCGCUCCGUCUUCAAACCUUCUCUUUAAUGUCCAAAGCUUGAACUGACGAAUCAAUGAUUCACCCAAAGGAUGUUCAUACUAGCUUCUAAUGAGAAUUAAGAUGGCUCAGUUGGGACCCCAGCAACUCAAUUACAUGACAGUCCUCAAAGACUCUUCUGAUUGUUUAGACUGCCUCAGUCCUUUGGAAAUUGCAGCUGACGAUUGAGAGGAGAGGUUCUUGGCCUGUGAAGCUGACCUCACGUAGUUCUUGGCAUGCUGCACAACCGCCUUUGCAGCAUAGUUCCAUCUGCAGAUACCUUGGUCCUUCAGUGCUUCCACAGCUCCAAUACUAGCUGCAACAAUCCAUGCUCUCCUACUUGAAC